AUCCGGAUGACAAGUUCCAAAUAGGACGAAACGCAAGUCAAACUGGAU
rnacentral:hammerhead_ribozyme from 1 species